CCCGUCAAUUCUCGCGCUGCUACCCUGCUCGCGCAGCCACCAGCUGCGCCGAGCGCCGUCAUCCCCGCCACCAAGAUCUGCGCUAACCCCAGACCCAGCAAGCAGUCCCCAUGGGCAGGCGGCCGGCUAGGGUCGCCGGCGACUCGCGAGCGCGAGGGUGCCAGGCCGCCGCCGCUGACUGCGCGGCUAGUUCCUGCCUUCCCGGUGCGCCUGCAUCCGCCACCGCCGGGCGCGGAGCUCUCGCCGGCUCGCCCAUCGUCGCCUGUGACCUGUCUAGAGGUGUCUACCAAGUUGCAUGAUCGUACCUGCGGAGCUGCGAUUGCGUGCCCUUCGAAGCCCGACACGGCGUGGACUGCAAACAGCGGCGCUGACGGGAUUCUAAUUCAGAUAGAUUUGGGCGAGGAUAGCCCAAUCAUUUCGAUUCGUGCGCUUUAGGUUGUUGGGAUUCGAUCAUACAAUCGGGCCGCCCCGUCCGGCCAAGAAGAUUGGAUGCGCCGGCAGUUUCGUGACCCAUCUGUUCGGAUCAGCCCGCCAGGCACACGCACUCGCGUCUGCGAAUCCACUUCGGAAUCCGACUCCUCUUCCAUUGCAAAUUGCAACAUAGAUCGAGGUCCCAGAAAUUGAUCUCCAUUUACUCGGCUCCUAGUAGCAUUUUUAUUUUGGGUUCACUGAUGGAACUCUGAUACUGUUUAGGCUCCUUCUAAUUUUUAUGAGAUGGAUAUCAUCACUGAAUUGCUAGGUAGGGCAGUUUGUACUGAUCGAACUCUGGAAUGUUUCUUUGGCUGAGUUUGUAAAAGUGAAGACUAUCCAAUGGUGCAUUUAGGGCAGUUUGUGCAGAUUGCUUACAUCAACAUUUCAACCCUGCUAGCUGUACUGUGGCUGUGAUCACUGACAUGUUGUGUUGAGUAUAUCCCUAUCUAUUCUCUCAUGUCAGUUAAUUUUGCCCAGUUCAAUGGCUUCCUAAAAAUCUGAAAUGACUGCAGUGUAUGUUCUAAUCAUCUUCUUUCCUUGAAUUUGUAGAUGGAAAGAAUUUUGUAGAGCAGUGGCUACAAGCAGCGCCAUCGUCACCCAAGGCCGCGAGUACAGAUCUUGAGGAAAAGUAGGAAGGGAGCCGCAGCUUUAUCAUGGAUGUUUUACACUGGAAGGGGUGGCCGAUAAAAGAUUUACUGUAUCGUUUUUUUUUAGUGCUAGCAGUUUCUGUGUUCAUUUGUCUAAAAGAUGGCUGUAAACGGUCUAGCCUGAAUGUCUUUGGCGUAUCAUCUGUUUAGAUCUUUAUGAAUGGAUUGCAUAUUUGAGCACGACCUGUAUCUGGUUGGUUACAUAUGCAAGAUGUGAUAGCCUGAUAUGUGUUUAAUUUUAUAAUAAAUCUUCAAGAUAUGCUGAAA